rnacentral:rRNA from 1 species
UACAGAGGUCCCGAGCGUUGUUCGGAUUCACUGGGCGUAAAGGGUGCGCAGGUGGGUUGGCAAGUUUGAUGUGAAAGCCCCGGGCUUAACCCGGGAAUGGCAUUGAAUACUGCUGAUCUGGAGGAUUGGAGGGGGGACUGGAAUUCUUGGUGUAGCAGUGAAAUGCGUAGAUAUCAAGAGGAACACCAGUGGCGAAGGCGGUUCUCUGGGCCUUACCUGACGCUGAGGAGCGAAAGCGUGGGGAGCGAACAGG